CGUGGGUAACCUGCCUUAUAGUGGGGGAUAGCCUUUCGAAAGGAAGAUUAAUACCGCAUAAGAUCGUAGUAUCGCAUGAUAUAGCAAUUAAAGGAGCAAUUCGCUAUAAGAUGGACCCGCGUCGCAUUAGCUAGUUGGUGAGGUAAUGGCUCACCAAGGCGACGAUGCGUAGCCGACCUGAGAGGGUGAUCGGCCACAUUGGGACUGAGACACGGCCCAGACUCCUACGGGAGGCAGCAUG
rnacentral:rRNA from 1 species